rnacentral:rRNA from 1 species
UACGUAGGGGGCAAGCGUUGUCCGGAAUUAUUGGGCGUAAAGCGCGCGCAGGCGGCUUUGUAAGUCUGGUGUUUAAACCUAGGGCUCAACCCUGGGUCGCAUUGGAAACUGCAAGGCUUGAGUGCAGAAGAGGAGAGUGGAAUUCCACGUGUAGCGGUGAAAUGCGUAGAUAUGCGGAGGAACACCGAUGGCGAAGGCAAUCCCCUGGGCCUGCACUGACGCUCAUGCACGAAAGCGUGGGGAGCAAACAGG